GGCGGGAUUUCCCUAGCCUGGCCAAGGGACCGUGCUGGAACCACGGUGUCCACGAGGACACGGGCGUUCAAAUCGCCCUCCCGCCG
rnacentral:tRNA from 1 species